rnacentral:sRNA from 1 species
AAUGAACCUAUUAAAGUCUUGUGUUGGAGAGUUGAAAUAUUAAAUGAACACAGAGGAGAGAAGUUAAACAGGGUAAAGAUGGUGGAAAAGGAAAAGGAUGCCUUAGAAGGAGAGAAAAACAUAGCUAUCGAAUUUCUUACCUUGGAAAAUGAAAUAUUUAGAAAGAAGAAUCAUGUUUGUCAAUAUUAUAUGUAAGUGCCUUGAUUGAUAUUACCAAUUUUUAUAUUAGUUUUUAACCAUUAAGUCAAAGCCCUUCUCUUUUCCUAGAGAAACAUGAAGACUGAAGUGAAAAAAAAUCUCUAAACAUUGUUUUGUGUGACUGGAUGUGUUAGCUCAUGCCUGUAAUUCAGCACUUUGGGAGGCUAAGGCAGGAGGAUCACUUGAGGCUGGGAGUUCAAGACCAGCCUGGGCAACAUAGCAAGACCCCAUCUCUACAAAAAAAGGAAUUAUGUGGUGAACUUAUCCAAUGUGAGGACUAUCUGGCUGUGACACCUGUCACCCCGUUGAUCACCAGGGUUGAAUUUAUUAAAUUAGGCAUAUUUAUCAAUUCAUUGAAGUUGACUUUUUAGUAUCCUGCUUUAAGUUGGGAGUUAUGAGUUGCAGAAACGAAUUGCUGAAAUGGAAACUCAAAAGGAAAAAAUUCAUGAAGAUACCAAAGAAAUUAAUGAGAAGAGCAAUAUACUAUCAAAUGAAAUGAAAGC